GCCCGGUUAGCUCAAUCGGUAGAGCGUGAGACUCUUAAUCUCAAGGUUGCGGGUAAGUUAUUCACUCGCCAUCUGAGGUUAUUCAAAAUCAUAUAUGCUAACAUCACCUUCAAGGUUCGACCCCCGCAUCGGGCU